ACAGUAUGCUCUGGUGUAGAUGUCCUGGAGGGAGGGAAGCUCACCUCCAACAAUGUGGCUGGCAGUUCGCACGACCCUUUUCAGAGCUUUGCGGUUGCCAGCGGUGCUGUUUCCAAACCAGGCAGUGAUGCAGCCCGUCAGGAUGCUCUCUAUAGUGCAGGUGUAGAACGAUCUGAGGAUGCUGGGGCUCAUUCCAAACUUCCUCAGCCGUCUCAGGAAGAAGAGGCGUUGAUGUGCCUUCUUCAGCACUGCAUCAGUGUGUGUAGACCAGGUGAGAUCCUCACUGAUGUUAACACCGAGGAACUUGAAGCUGCUUACCCGCUCCACAGGUGUCUUGUCGAUGGUGAUGGGUGUGUGUUCUCUGCUCUAUCUCCUGAAACCCACCACCAGCUCCUUGGUCUUGUCGAUGUUGAGUGAGAGGUGGUUCUCCUGACACCAUUUAGUCAGGGUGCUCUUCUCCUCUCUGUAGGCCGUCUCAUCGUUGUCGGUGAUCAGGCCUAUCACCGUUGUGUCAUCAGCGAAUUUGAUGAUGACGUUGGAGCUGUGUGUGGCUGUACAGUCAUGUGUGUACAGGGAGUACAGGAGCGGGCUGAGGACACAGCCCUGAGGAGCACCAGUGUUGAGGGUCAGCGGGGAUGAAGUGUUGUUGCCCAUUCUGACCACCUGACUUCUGCCUGUCAGGAAGUCCAGGAUCCAGCUGAGAGAGAGUCUUUCAAAACUCUUGCGGCAUGCGCAACACCGACCUCAAACGUCAUCCGCCCGGAGCUGUUUCUGUGUACAACUGUUGGCGCAAGCUACAUUAAAGUGAUUAUUAUGUUUUGAAUAUGGAUAUUUUUCUUACAAAAACGCAUCAGCUGACUACAGGAGGCAAUUGUUCACCCCCCGGAGCCGUGUGAGACACUUUUUUUUAUGGAUGGAUGCUUUUUAUUUCACUUCUUUUGGAGUGAUGCAUGCAACAGCCGCUGAAUGCCAUGAAACAGCUUGAAAGAUCAAAGAUAACUCCGACUGGAUUCAUCUGAAAGAAGAAAGUCAUAUACACCUAGGUUGACUUGAGGGUGAGUAAUUUAUGAGCUAAUUUUCAUUUUUGGGUGAACUAACCCUUUAAGUUCCAGAUAUGGUCAUACCAUAAAAUAUUUUUAGUAAGACUGACCUUGUAUUUAAUGUGAAUUUAAUAAAAACAUUGUAAGUUAGUAAUUAGCCUGUAACACUUUCAUUGUACAAAAAGAGAGCAAAGAAUGUUUACAUUAUCAAAUAACAUUUUCACUUCAGUCUAGCGAGUUCUAGCACUCUCAAAAACUCCAAUAAUAACUUCUAAAGCUGUUUACUCACUGAAAUUAAUAUCUUACUUACAUUCGUACAUCUUUACAUUGUUGUUUCUGAUGAGAGAAUUAGCCAGAUAAUUCAGCCAGCCAGCGUGCGCGGUGACGAAACAGUGUGUUUCAGCGGUGACUCAUCUGAACGCCUCUGAUUGGCCCUUGCAUUCGUAAGCUCAACAGAAGCAUAUGUGAUUGGUUAUAAUGUGCAGCGCUAUAAAAACUUGUGUGUCUCUGGCUCUGUGCCAGCCAGUGAACACAGAUUUGAAUUUAGCAGCUAGUGAUGUAUGUAUAUAUAUAUAUAUAUAUAUAUAUAUAUAUACAUAGUUUAAAGGUCAAACUGCACAUUUCACCCAAAAUAGUUUGGUGUGAUAUGAUUCCAUUUUUUAUUUCUUUUUGGUGGGGGUGGGUGGGGGCAAUCCUUUGUCAGGCUUGUUGACAGGGGGACACUGCUUCUAUGGACAUCUCAUUGCAUCAGAAUGUUCAUCUGUGAUGCAUUGUGGGAUAGAGUGACGAGAUCAUCUGGAUGGGCAGAAAUCAGUCUGCUGAAUUCUCUUAUCUGUCCCUCAGCUGACCUUCCUGUCUCCCCUUCCCUCGUCCUGUCAGUCCAGCCGUGGCUCUGACAGUCCAUCUAAAACACCAGGAGCUCAUCUGCAUCAAACACACACACACCAUUCACACAUACAUACAUAAAUGCAGAUACACACGCAUGUGCAGGGGUCCUUCAUGAAAUAGAGCUCAGGUUGCUUCAGAUGGGCUUGACAUUGAGUGCUGGAGACGCUGCAUUCACUCACACACACACACACACACACACACACACACACACACACACACACACACACACACACACACACACACACACACACAUACAUACAGCAGUUGAAGCAUCUCAGAUCAAGCAAUAAGCCAAGAGGACUAUAGGUUUAGUAUACUUACAGUGUGUAAUUUCUGAAAAAAACUAAACAAAAAAAAAAACAAUUCUCAGCUUGUUCUAUCUAUUGAAAUAUCUUGUUCAGGUCAGUACAUCCAUGCAUUUUUUAUGGUGGAUAUUUUUUAUUAUCAACAAAGUUUUGACCACAACUUCUAUUUGACAUGAAGUCCAUUUCUUUACAUUUAUACCCUUUUCCCAUUUAAAAGCCCAUUUUUACAUUUAUGCAUUUAGCAGAUGCUUUUAUCCAAAGCUUAUUACAGUGCAUUCAGGCUUUUUUUUUUUUUUUUUAUGAAUCGAACCCACAACCUUUGCGCUGCUAACGCAAUGCUCUACCACUGAGCCACAGAAACACCAUUUUAAUAUAUCAUUUUAAAAAUGUUUACAUUUUUUUAUACCAUUUUCAGGUCCUUUUUUAAGGUACCAUUGUACCUUUUUUAAAGUCCAUUUUUUAUAUUAUGAUACGA
ensembl:lncRNA